rnacentral:rRNA from 1 species
CGAGGAAUAUUGCACAAUGGAGGCAACUCUGAUGCAGUAACGCCGCGUGGGGGAAGAAGACCUUCGGGUUGUAAACCUCUUUUUGUAAAGACGAGUGAGGACGGUAGCUAUAGAAUCAGUCUCGGCUAACUACGUGCCAGCAGCCGCGGUAAGACGUAGGAGGCGAGCGUUAUCCGGAUUCACUGGGCGUAAAGCGCAUGUAGGCGGCUGGACAAGUCGUGUGUUAAAGCCCCUGGCUCAACUGGGGGAGGUCAUGCGAGACUGUGCGACUGGAGGGCAACAGAGGCACGUGGAACUCCCGGUGUAGCGGUGGAAUGCGUAGAGAUCGGGAAGAACACCAGUGGCGAAGGCGACGUGCUGGGUUGCACCUGACGCUGAAAUGCGAAAGUGUGGGGAGCAAACGGGAUUAGAUACCCCCGUAGUCC